rnacentral:rRNA from 1 species
UACGUAGGGGGGCUAGCGUUGUCCGGAAUCAUUGGGCGUAAAGCGCGUGUAGGCGGUCCGGUAAGUCCGCUGUGAAAGUCGGGGGGCUCAACCCUCGAAUGCCGGUGGAUACUGUCGGGCUAGAGUGCGGAAGAGGCGAGUGGAAUUCCUGGUGUAGCGGUGAAAUGCGCAGAUAUCAGGAGGAACACCAAUUGCGAAGGCAGCUCGCUGGGACGUGACUGACGCUGAGACGCGAAAGCGUGGGGAGCAAACAGG